UUCUUCAACGGCCGCGGUAACCUGACCGUGCUAAGGUAGCGUAAUCAACUGCCCUUUAAUUGUGGGCCAGUAUGAAUGGCUAGUCAAGAGCCUAGCUGUCUCAAAAAGACUUUUGAAAAUUUACCUUUAGGUGCAAAGGCCUAAAUACUAGUGAAAGACAAGAAGACCCUAUCGAGCUUUAAUUUAUAUUAUUUUAUUACAACACUAUAAAUUUUUAUUGGGGCAAUAAAGGAGCAAUCAAAGCCUCCUUGAUUAAUAUAGAUAAACUAAUUUAAAAAGAUAUAUUCGCUAAUAAUCUCCGGCACAAGCUACCGUAGGGAUAACAGACCUAUUUCCCUUGAGAGUUCACAUUGACAGGGAAGUUUGGCACCUCGAUGUUGGCUUAGAAAAACAGUUAGAAGCAGCACUCUAACCUUGUAGGUUUGUUCACCCUUUAAUUUUCUAGUCUUCUAGAUUAACAAAUUAGAAGUCCAGCCUGCCCAGUGAA
rnacentral:rRNA from 1 species